rnacentral:lncRNA from 1 species
AAUUGUUCUUGAGAUUGAAUCAAUAAUGGAAGGUGAAAGUUGCAAAGUCUACAUUUAACAUAAGACACGUCUACUAUUUUCAUUAGAAACGUCUACCAUUAACAUAAGAGAAAUCAAAGAAAAGUAGAUUUUCUGGAAAAUUAAAUUGUUCUUGAGAUUGAAGCAAAUUAACUAAAGGUAAAAAUGCAAAGUCUACAUGUAACAUAAGACACAACUACUUUUUUCAUAAGUAAAUGUCUACCAUUAACAUAAGAGAAAUCAAAGAAAAGUAGACUUUCUGGAAAUCUAAAUUGUUCUUGAGAUUGAACCAACCCAAGGUAAAAGAUGCAAAGUCUACAUUUAACAUAAGACACAACUACUUUUUUCAUAAGAAAUGUCUACCAUUAACAUAAGAGAAAUCAAAGAAAAGUAGACUUUCUGGAAAUCUAAAUUGUUCUUGAGAUUGAAUCAAUAAUAGAAGAUGAAAGUUGCAAAGUCUACAUUUAUAACAUAACACACGUCUACUAUUUUCAUUAGAAACAUCUACUAUUAACAUAAGAGAAAUCAAAGAAAAGUAGAUUUUCUAGAAAAUUAAAUUGUUCUUGAGAUUGAAGCAAAUUAACCAAGGUAAAAAAUGCAAAGUCUACAUUUAACAUAAGACACAACAACUUUUUUCAUAAGAAAUGGCUACCAUUAACAUAAGAGAAAUCAAAGAAAAGUAGAUUUUCUGGAAAUCUAAAUUGUUCUUGAGAUUGAAGCAACCCAAGGUAAAAGAUACAAAAUCUACAUUUAACAUAAGACACCUCUACUAUUUUCAUUAGAAAUGUCUACCAUUAACAUAAGAGAAAUCAAAGAAAAGUAGACUUUCUGGAAAUCUAAAUUGUUCUUGAGAUUGAACCAACCCAAGGUAAAAGAUGCAAAGUCUACAUUUAACAUAAGACACAACUACUUUUUUCAUAAGAAAUGUCUACCAUUAACAUAAGAGAAAUCAAAGAAAAGUAGAUUUUCUGGAAAAUUAAAUUGUUCUUGAGAUUGAAGUAAAUUAACCAAGGUAAAAAAUGCAAAGUCUACAUGUAAC